GAUGAACGCUGGCGGCGUGCCUAAUACAUGCAAGUCGAGCGAACAGACGAGGAGCUUGCUCCUCUGACGUUAGCGGCGGACGGGUGAGUAACACGUGGAUAACCUACCUAUAAGACUGGGAUAACUUCGGGAAACCGGAGCUAAUACCGGAUAAUAUAUUGAACCGCAUGGUUCAAUAGUGAAAGACGGUUUUGCUGUCACUUAUAGAUGGAUCCGCGCCGCAUUAGCUAGUUGGUAAGGUAACGGCUUACCAAGGCAACGAUGCGUAGCCGACCCGAGAGGGUGAUCGGCCACCCUGGAACUGAGACACGGUCCAGACUCCUACGGGAGGCAGCAGUAGGGAAUCUUCCGCAAUGGGCGAAAGCCUGACGGAGCAACGCCGCGUGAGUGAUGAAGGUCUUCGGAUCGUAAAACUCUGUUAUUAGGGAAGAACAAAUGUGUAAGUAACGAUGCACGUCUUGACGGUACCUAAUCAGAAAGCCACGGCUAACUACGUGC
rnacentral:rRNA from 1 species